GAUGAACGCUGGCGGCGUGCCUAAUACAUGCAAGUCGAGCGAACGGACGCGAAGCUUGCUUCUCUGAUGUUAGCGGCGGACGGGUGAGUAACACGUGGAUAACCUACCUAUAAGACUGGGAUAACUACGGGAAACCGGAGCUAAUACCGGAUAAUAUUUUGAACCGCAUGGUUCAAAAGUGAAAGACGGUCUUGCUGUCACUUAUAGAUGGAUCCGCGCUGCAUUAGCUAGUUGGUAAGGUAACGGCUUACCAAGGCAACGAUGCAUAGCCGACCUGACAGGGGGAACGGCCACACUGGAACUGAGAGACGGUCCAGAGUCCUACGGGAGGCAGCAGUAGGGAAUCUUCCGCAAUGGGGGAAAGCCUGACGGAGCAACGCCGCGUGAGUGAUGAAGGUCUUCGGAUCGUAAAACUCUGUUAUUAGGGAAGAACAUAUGUGUAAGUAACUGUGCACAUCUUGACGGUACCUAAUCAGAAAGCCACGGCUAACUACGUG
rnacentral:rRNA from 1 species